GUGAGGAGGAAGGGACAGGAAGGAGCAAGCUGGAAAUGCAGAAAGAAGAGAGGAGAGAGCCAGAGGAGAGAGCCUCAUGGGACUGCAAUAUGUAAAAGGCAGCCUGGUCCUGUGGGAUCUGGGCUCUUCCACUGAGGUCUCACGUGCAGAAUUCCUGAAGGGUCUGGGGCUAUGUGAGCUGGGAGAUCACUGGAGCAUUGCCCCCCUGAGUGGUGUUUGCAGCAGUUGGGGACGUGCAGGGAGCACGUGAGAUGUUAACGGAGUCCAGGCACCUCUUUUGGGAUGCUGAAGCUGGAGGACUGUGUGGGGCUCUGUCACCCAAGCUCUGCAGAGAAGAUACACAUCUUCCUCACUCCUCGGCACCCAUUGUGAGCCACGCCAGCUCUACAGACAGAAAAUUGGGUGGCUUUCAUGUUUAUCAGGCUUUUGAUGCUGCUCAUUGAAUUCUUAGCACUCUGCAAGGUUUAUGGUGUCAGACAGACCCCGGAUUAAACCACAGCCUUUUGAUCUCCCCAUGAAUUAUUACUUUCAGACAAGCUCUUUAAAAAUCUAUCUAUAGUGCUAUUGCGUGUGAAGCUGGAACUAAAUUAGCUAUACACGUUUUUUUAUUUAUGGGGAGGAGUGAGAGGAAGGCUGAGGUGUGAGUGCAUCCUGCAGGCUGCUGGGGGCCCACGGGGAUGCAGCAGCGCCUGCGGGUCUGGGCCAGGCAGAUGGACUCGGCAGGCUCAGCACCUGAGAGGGCUUCCCCAGCCUCUACCCCAGUGCCCCCAGCCCAGCUGCUCCCCCUCCCCUGUGCUCACCAAACUGUUUGUCCUUGCCUGCUCCAUGAAUGUCAAUAAACCCGGGAUAGACUGUUCUGCCCGCUAAAGAGCUGUUUAUCUUUCUUUAUAUACAAAUGGCUGGGAAAAUACUAGCUGAGCUUUCCAAGAAAGAGCAAUACAGUGUAUUUUCCCAUUGUAGCAACAGGGGUGCAAUUACAUUCAAACAAGGCUCUUUACUCAAAGGCUUUAAGUAAAGUCCAAGCCUGGAUUUUGCAGAGAUGCUUUUUCUUUCUCUCUUGGACAGAAAGGAACAAUUGGGAACAGCAGCAGUGAAUCUGUGGGUGCUGCCAGGAGUGAUGGCAAAACUCUAAACCCAGGGAACUCCAGCCAGCUCCCACACAGCACCACCCAGCCUGGCUCUGGGACAUG